GUACUGGUGUUACUGGUUCCUACCUUCUGACGAACCAUCAUGUCAUUCAUUUGGUGUGGCGGGGAAUCAGGACUGUUACUUUGAAAAAAUUAGAGUGUUUAAAGCAGGCACGCGCUUGAAUACAUUAGCAUGGAAUAAUGAAAUAGGACGUUCGAUUCUAUUUUGUUGGUUUCUAGGAUCAACGUAAUGAUUAAUAGGGAUAGUUGGGGGCAUUAGUAUUCAAUUGUCAGAGGUGAAAUUCUUGGAUUUAUUGAAGACUAACUACUGCGAAAGCAUUUGCCAAGGAUGUUUUCAUUAAUCAAGAACGAAAGUUAGGGGAUCGAAGACGAUCAGAUACCGUCGUAGUCUUAACCAUAAACUAUGCCGACUAGGGAUCGGAUGAUGUUAUUUUUUUA
rnacentral:rRNA from 1 species